rnacentral:tRNA from 1 species
UUACAAGCAGUGUAUGGGCACAAAGAAUUUUGAUUUCUUUAGAGAGGCUUAAACUUCCUAG